GACGAACCGUACGAGCGUUAUUCGGAAUCACUGGGCUUAAAGGGUGCGUAGGCUGCGCAGCAAGUUGGGUGUGAAAUCCCUCGGCUUAACCGAGGAACUGCGCCCAAAACUGCUGUGCUCGAGGGAGAUAGAGGUGAGCGGAACUUAGGGUGGAGCGGUGAAAUGCGUUGAUAUCCUAAGGAACACCGGUGGCGAAAGCGGCUCACUGGAUCUCUUCUGACGCUGAGGCACGAAAGCUAGGGUAUCGAACGGG
rnacentral:rRNA from 1 species